UACAGAGGGUGCGAGCGUUGUUCGGAAUUAUUGGGCGUAAAGGGCGCGUAGGCGGUGCGGUAAGUCACCUGUGAAAUCUCCUGGCUCAACUGGGAGCUUGCAGGCGAAACUGCCGUGCUGGAGUGUGGGAGAGGUGAGUGGAAUUCCCGGUGUAGCGGUGAAAUGCGUAGAUAUCAGGAGGAACACCGGUGGCGAAGGCGGGUCUCUGGGCCGAUACUGACGCUGAGGAGCGAAAGCGUGGGGAGCGAACAGG
rnacentral:rRNA from 1 species